AGGUCACUGGACGAAGUGAAUGGGCCGUAGCCCAACCUCUGUUGGGCCGCGCUCAGGAAAGUCCCCGGGCCAUGUGCUGCAGAGAUGCAGUCUCGGGAACGAGAAGGGCUUUAAGCGGUUGGAGCCCCCAUCGCCACCGCGCGAUGAGGCUGAGACGCGUGCGGAGCCUCCGUGGGGCUCUCCCGAAGCUGAAUUGGCCGAUACUCACAGUUAUUCACUUGGCCCAUUGUUCUAACAGAACGGGGCUUACGCUCCAGUGGCU
rnacentral:RNase_MRP_RNA from 1 species